rnacentral:rRNA from 1 species
GUGCCAGCAGCGGGGUAAUACCGGCAGCCCGAGUGAUGGCCGAUCUUAUUGGGCCUAAAGCGUCCGUAGCUGGCCGACCAAGUCUCCCGGGAAAUCCACCCGCCCAACGGGUGGGCGUCCGGUGGAAACUGUGUGGCUUGGGACCGGAAGGCGCGACGGGUACGUCCGGGGUAGGAGUGAAAUCCCGUAAUCCUGGACGGACCGCCGAUGGCGAAAGCACGUCGCGAAGACGGAUCCGACAGUGAGGGACGAAAGCCAGGGUCUCCAACCGGAUUAGAUACCCUAGUAGUCC